ensembl:lncRNA
GUGGACCCCAUCGUGUGGCUGAGAUGCAGGAUGCCAGCACCCCUGCACCCGGGUCUGCAGGGCCUCCCCUCACCCAGGGGGAGAGGAAGCAAGUCAGGCCCCUGGCUACACCUCCUGCUGACUCCGGCUCAGCGACACCCCAGGUGCCAGCCGCAGACACCAGCUCCAGCCGACUGAAGCAGAAAAGAGAUCUCAGGAGAGGAUGCUGGGGUGCAGCUUCCAUUUGCGCAGAAACAGGUCCACAGAGACUCCUGGCUCCCUUUGCCAGACACAGUGGGUCAGAAUGGGGUCCCCUCAAAAUCACGUCCACCUGGAACCUCGGGUUGUGAUUUCAUUCGAAACUAGGGUGUUUGCAGAUGUAACUAAGUCACGGUCGUCCUGGAUGAGGGUGGGCUCUAGAUGCAAUGACCAGCAUCCUGGGGAGAGCAGAGACGCACAGAGAGGGGAGGCCGUGUGCAGACAGAGGCAGAAACUGGAGAGGUGUGUCCACAGGCCAAAGGACCUCAAGGACUGCCGGGAGCCAGUGGGAGCUGGGAGAAGCCUGGGGAGGAUCCUCCACCAGAGCCUCUGGAAAGAACCACUCUGCUUACGCGUUGACUGCAGACUUCUGGCCUCCAGGAUCCAGACAACAUAAAUUGCUGUCCUUUGAAGCCACCGCGUUUGUGGUGCUUUGUUAGGGUGGCCCUGGGAAAGUGACACCCAGCCUGAGCGUGGGGACCCCAGGAACGAGAAGGUGUGUGAGACGGAGGCUGGGAGGGCUCCCCGGCCACACAGAGGACAGCAAAGGCCUGGUGUUGAGCGGAAAUGGCUCCUGGCACCAGGGGACGCUGGCGGCAGGGACGACAGAGGUCUGAGUCGCUCCGGACUUUCUCUGCCACGUCAACUGGGUGGAACGCGAAGUCUUGUGUGAUUGUGUACAAUUGUCAAAAACCUCAUCACACUGAACACUUACAAUUGGUGAACGCUGUUAAAUGAUACCUCACUAAAGCUGCCUUUAAAAAAAAAAGAGAGAGAAUUUACAGUUAUUGAAAUAAAGCAAGCAUGAUAUUGGUGCACGUGGAAGGCAGAAUUCUAAAAAUCACAGCCGUCAGAAGGGAAAAAUUAAACACACAGGCAGUAUCAACGGCAGGGAGAACACGGAGCAGCGGGAACCGGGGUUCCGAAGCCGGGCGUGCUGGUUCCUGGGGUGGGAGGCUGAAAACAGGCAUUGAUGGACUGACUUUCUCUCUUUUAUUGGAGUGACGGCCGCGUCACUGCCAUCUCCACCUCAGCAUUCACAGUGCCUCUGUGUCCCCAUGUGUGUCUCAUCAUAAAGACGAGUGCGGUUGCGUUAACGGCCCACCCAGAUAAUCCAGGAUAAGCUCCUCUCAAGACCCUCGAUCGCAUCGUUUGCUGGAUAACAUAAUAUCUGCUGGUUCCAGAGAUUAGGACCUGGACCUGCCUCUGGGGGGCCACCACUCAACCCACUACGGGGGUGGGUACCAAUGUGUACAUCUGGCCUGGAAGAUAAUUUACCCCCGUGGGCAGAGAGCCCAGAGAAGUUUCUUGCACGGAGAAUAAGACGGUGGAUCCUCAAAAGAGGGGAGUGUCUCAGAGCAGGCGUUUACUCAGCAACGCGGCUAGACCCCAAAGCAUCCUGGUGAGCGAGAGGAAUUGCCUGAAGCAGCAUCCCCGCUCCAGCUCUGCUUCCGGGAACCUGAUCCGGGACCAGAGGCACCGAGGGGGCAGCGCAGGCGUGAGGCAGCCGACUCCACCAGGGGGCGCAGCAAAGAGGGACGGACAAUCAGGCAGAUCUGACACCACUUGGGAAGUUAAACGCCAACCGUUAACACCCAAUGCAAGGGGUAGGGCCCUUGGUCUUUUCCUUUGGGUCUUGAUUCAACUCCCUCGAGGCAGGCAGGGCUGAAAUAUGAGUAGACCCAUCUUCUCUGCCAACGGUCCUUCUGUCUGUCCACUGGGCUCCCUCCCCUCCUCCUGACAGCCAGCAGACCGCCCCAGCGCCCCGCUCCGCGCCCCAGGAUCACCCCCAGCACCGUCUCCUCGGGCGGGAGGAAUCCUGGAAUGCAGCAUAUUUCACUACUACAAGUGUCCACGGGAACCAUCGGUGCAAAGGCACCGGUCGACGCGCGGAGGUCAGCGCCUCGCGGUCCUCGUGGAAGCUUGUCCCCCGUGCCGCAACACACCACAGCCCACCUGAAGACGCGGCUCCGGGCUCAGGACCCCAGGGUCCUCGGAGGGGUCCGCACUGGCUCAGCGCUGAGCGCAGCCCAGGGGCAACUGCCCUUCCGUCCACCCCCGUCCCUCUCCGGCCGUUUCCUCCAAACCACCAGCUGUCCCAGAGCCCUUCGAGGGCAGGACCGUGUCUCCGGUUCGUCUCUGGACCCCUGGGAGCAUGGGGGGGGGGGCGGUGGGCACGGAGUGGGCGCUCAGUUUGCGGUCCCCAGACACGAACAGAGAACUGCGCGAGUGAGGGCGCGGCCACCAGGGGGCGGUCCCGGCCCGGGCACCCUGCUCCACAUCUUUGCUCUAAAUUUGAUCAAACCUUCAAAUAAGACCUGGACUAAAAAACUGUAUAGCACUACCAGAAACGGAAGACCAGCGUCACUUGUCAUAAACAAAUAGAAAGAAAACACAAAAGUGGAAAUGGAGUAGGCAGCCUUGUUGCAGAUUCUGACUGUGCACUGCUGUCCAUCAGGGUGACAGGCUGCCUCCAUCCCUGGACUCCGAGAAGAGGAAACAGCAGUGAGGCUCCAGUUUUCCCAGGGGGAGCUCUCCUGUCCACUGUGGAGCCAUCAAGGUGGGAAAGGUCGGUUCCUGAGAUGCCACUCCCCACCCCACUUCCCACCCCUGAGUCUGUGAGUCAGAGGCACUGGGACAUCCUGGGGGAAUGACAGAGAGAGUGCCCUCGAAGAGCUCAGUGAUACAGGGCAGUGGUCCUCACCAUCUCCCCAUGGAAUUCUCCAGGAGAGUCCCUGCCAAACCAAAUGGAUCCUUGUGGGUGUCGGUAACUUCAAUCGUAGAUGCCAUGCUGGUGUCUUUCCCAGGACAGAUCAACACAGCCUUUGGUUGUUGAUCUGGUGAAGCAUUCUUUCCAGUCCCCAUCAGAGAGCAGUGGAGCGGUGUGCGUUUACCUGGGAAGGACAACAGUGUGCACCCGUGGUCUUGCCCAUGGGCAUUGAGCCAUCUUGCAGAGCAUCCUAUUUGUCUGCUACACUGAUGACAUCAGGAUAACUGGACCUGAGGAACAAGUAUCUGGUAAGACACGUGCCUGCCAGGGGCAUGACACAUGGAUGAUGUUUUGAGGGUACAGUGCUUUGGGGGCAUGCUUUCCCUUCCAAGAUAAAGGACAACCUAUAGGUUAUACCUCCUGCCACCAAAAAAGAAGCACAGUGUUGAGUGGCACCUUUGGGUUUUGGAGGCAGAGUAUACCACGCUAGGGACUUCUGCUCCAGCCCAGUUGUCAAGCGAUAACUCGCUUAUCAUCCACCCAUUUUGAGUGGGGCCCAGAGCAAGAAAGGGAUCUGCAGCAGGUUCGGGCUGGUCCGAGUGGCCCUGCUGCUGGGGCGAUGUGACUUGGCACCGUGAGGGGUGGAAUCUUCCCAGGGCCUCACAGCCAGUCUGGGUAGAGCUGGUGCUGGAACUCUGUGCCCUGUGGCUGUGGCCCACCCAGACCCGCUGAGCAUUCGGCACACAGGGUCUCUAGGGCUGGGACACAGGCUGGGCCUUCUCCCAC